UGGGGAAUAUUGCACAAUGGGCGAAAGCCUGAUGCAGCGACGCCGCGUGAGCGAAGAAGUAUUUCGGUAUGUAAAGCUCUAUCAGCAGGGAAGAAAAUGACGGUACCUGACUAAGAAGCACCGGCUAAAUACGUGCCAA
rnacentral:rRNA from 1 species